GACGAACGCUGGCGGCGCGCCUAACACAUGCAAGUCGAACGGAGUCACGAGGAGCUUGCUUUUCUUGACUUAGUGGCGAACGGGUGAGUAACGCGUGAGUAACCUGCCCUGGAGUGGGGGACAACAGUUGGAAACGACUGCUAAUACCGCAUAAGCCCACGGAUCCGCAUGGUUCUGCGGGAAAAGGAUUUAUUCGCUUCAGGAUGGACUCGCGUCCAAUUAUCUAGUUGGUGAGGUAACGGCCCACCAAGGCGACGAUUGGUAGCCGGACUGAGGAGAUGAACGGACACAUUGGGAGUGAGACACGGCCCAGACUCCUACGGGAGGCAGCAGUGGGGGAUAUUGCACAAUGGGGGAAACCCUGAUGCAGCGACGCCGCGUGGAGGAAGAAGGUGUUAGGAUUGUAAACUCCUGUCGUUAGGGACGAUAAUGACGGUACCUAACAAGAAAGCAACGGCUAACUACGUG
rnacentral:rRNA from 1 species